AAACCGUGAUGGGGGCACCUAAUGGUGUAGCUUUUAAACCUCUCCCACGCUUCACAGAAUGUUUUAUUGUUUUUAUGGGUGAAGUCCGAGAUCUCGUUCCUCAAUCU